rnacentral:rRNA from 1 species
UACGGAGGUUCCAAGCGUUGUUCGGAAUUACUGGGCGUAAAGGGAGCGCAGGCGGGCAAGUCAGUCUGAAGUGAAAUCCCGGGGCUCAACCUCGGACUUGCUUCGGAUACUGCUUGUCUUGAGUUCGUGAUAGGAAGACGGAAUUCAGGGUGUAGCGGUGAAAUGCACAGAUAUCCUGAGGAACACCGGUGGCGAAAGCGGUCUUCUGGCGCGAAACUGACGCUGAGGCUCGAAAGCGUGGGUAGCAAACGGGAUUAGAUACCCCUGUAGUCCCU